UACGUAGGGUGCAAGCGUUGUCCGGAAUUAUUGGGCGUAAAGCGCGUGUAGGCGGCUUUGCAAGUCGGGUGUGAAAGCCCUCAGCUUAACUGAGGAAGUGCGCCCGAAACUGCUUGGCUUGAGUACCGGAGAGGAUGGCGGAAUUCCCCAAGUAGAGGUGAAAUUCGUAGAUAUGGGGAGGAACACCGGUGGCGAAGGCGGCCAUCUGGACGGAUACUGACGCUGAGACGCGAAAGCGUGGGUAGCAAACAGG
rnacentral:rRNA from 1 species